ACGGAACCAACCAAGCCUAUUCGCUUGUUGAAAAUUGAAACUCCCAAAACUCAUUUCCCUCGGUCACCGUAACUGAAACUCCGGCCACCUAGAUGGCCACCUCCACUUCGUCAGUAUUUUUCGUAAUUAAUCAGAGACCACUUCAAUCACCAGCUCCGUUCUCUCCCAAAUCAUGCUACAGGAAAUUGAGUUUCAAGAGGCUUCAUCAAUCUCACCGAGUUUCCUGCGAUUACUCUUGCGUCGAAGUUAGGGGUGUUAGCUAUAGGCCUCCGGGAACCCAGCUCAACCUUCUAAAUGAAGUUAGUUUUUCUCUUCCAGAGAAGAGUUUUGGAUUGAUUUUUGGACAGAGUGGGAGCGGUAAAACUACUCUCUUGCAGCUUCUUGCUGGGCUAAGUGAACCAACAUCAGGUUCCAUUGGCAUUCAAAGAUAUGGGAAUGAUGGCAAUCCAUGUCAUUCUCCUGAACCACUACCUCCAGAAAAAGUUGGUAUUGUCUUUCAGUUUCCGGAGAGCUAGGUAUUUUGUGGC
rnacentral:misc_RNA from 1 species